rnacentral:rRNA from 1 species
UACGUAGGGUGCAAGCGUUGUCCGGAAUUAUUGGGCGUAAAGAGCUCGUAGGCGGUUUGUCGCGUCUGCUGUGAAAUCCCGAGGCUCAACCUCGGGUCUGCAGUGGGUACGGGCAGACUAGAGUGUGGUAGGGGAGAUUGGAAUUCCUGGUGUAGCGGUGGAAUGCGCAGAUAUCAGGAGGAACACCGAUGGCGAAGGCAGGUCUCUGGGCAGUAACUGACGCUGAGGAGCGAAAGCGUGGGGAGCGAACAGG